UCAUUCAUUUCUCGCUGCCUGCUUGCUCCCUUAGAACGGCCCAAAAGGAACGGGCCGUUUCUCUCACCCAAUAUGACAAACCCUCUAUCGAUUCCCCUCACUCCCCUCCAUCCUCUACUGAUCCCUCAUCAAAUGCCUCUCCUCUCAAACGCCUUUCCUCUACUGAUCCAUCCUCUUUUUCGUUUCUUCGCUCCUCGCGAACCUAAAAUCUUGGAAAGUUUAGCGAUGGCGGUACUUCAGUACUUGGAAACACAGUGAAACUCGCAUCUAGAGCUCUUGAGUUUGAGAAGUUUGUCGUUCUCACAGUAUUUCAGAUCUGUACUUCAUUUUCUACAUCGUUGAGUUCUUUUUUUUUUUUUUGCUUUUUUGAUGAUUGAAAUUUUGAAUUCGAUGUUGCUUUUGCUGCAAUUGAAUCGUGUUUUAUCGAUUUGUGUCGAAUUUUGUGGAAUUUAGGGUUUUUGUGAUGAGUAGGUUGAUUUUAGCGAGGUUAGGGUUUUUAGGGAUCGAUCUUGUGGGGAUUUAAAUCAGGGUUUUAGGCUCAUUUUGUGUGUUUUAUGAGGAGUAAAAGUAAUUGAUGCUGAUGAUGCUGAUGAAUUGUUCUUGUGCCUCAAAGUUGAUGAAUUCUUCAAGAUCGUUCUUGCAAAUUUAGAAUAUCCUUGCCUUUUCUUGUGUAAAAUUAAAUUUGGAAUGAUAUUAAUAUAUUUGCUUAAUUAGUAUCAAGUUCACUCAAUUCCUUUGCAUAUGUGUUCUUUCUUUGUUGAAUGGUAAGUGAAUGGUAGUAGAUGAAGUCCUCAUUAUUCUGAAUCUUCUAUAGAUUUUAUUGUGGCCAGGAAUCUAUUUAAGGCUAAAAUCAUUGACAAUUUCUUUUUUGUGGGAUACAAAACAGAAAAAACCGCACUCUAAUGUGAACUUCUAUUGCUUUUGAUGGUCAAUUACAUUUGUUCUAAGAUUUUUGAGAACUGUAUGUUAGAAUUAGCUUUUGCCCAUGUUGUUGUUCCACCUUGUGUUAGAUUGACACUAAUAUGAAUUUUUAUUUCUUUGAGCAAGAAAAGGGCACCUGAUUAUCAACUUUUAUUGAUUUGAUCUUUCUGCAUGCGGUCCUUGAAUUUCAAUGCUUUGAUUGCUCUGUUAUACUUAUGGCUUCAUUUUCUACAUUAUGUUGAAGAUGCUUAGAUGUAAUUUGAGUUUUAGACCUCUUAGUAUUCCAAUAUAAGUCCAUCUACACAUAAAGAAGAAUGCAUCCCUAUGUUUUGGUUGGUUUGUGGCUAAUAAGUUAUAACUCUCUCUUUUCUUUUUCUCCCUUUUCCUUGUAGACUUUUCUUUAUUUCUCUGCCUUUAUUCUUUACCCUUUAUAUAUGUUUUUCAGUGUCUUUUUGCUCUCUCCUUUGCUGCAUCCUACUUGAUAUAGUGGCUAAAUCUAAGUGUUCCAUUCGGGGAUGUAUUUUCGUUGGAGACCCAAAACUUUGCAAAGUCUGCUCAAUAUUGGUUAUGCCAGGGACAGCGGCACAAAUUCUACUGGGCAUCUUUGCGGUUCUCUUUUUUUUUACUCUCCUCCUUUUGUCUUCUUGGUUUAUGUUUCGGAAACCGGAGCUGCUCAUUUGAUGUUGGUUUGCUACUUUCCAGUAGCAACAGCGGAGAAACUGCUAAAGUGAUGUACCUUGACACCUCAGCUCUAUGGUUCUUCUCCAGAUUGUAGCAAUCAAGAAAAUGGAGUUGCCCCCGCUUAAAAAAGCAGAAGGCGAGCGUGAAUUUCGAGUGGAAGUUGACAUCUUAAACAGGAUGGACCAUCCAAAUCUGGUUUCCUUCAUCGGGUAUUGAGUCGAUGGAAAGCAUGGAUUCCUUGUAUACGAAUACAUGCAGAAUGACAAGUUAAACAACAUUACAAAGCUUCCGAAGCUUUACAUACUUGAAAUUUGGACAUUAUGUAUGGUUCCCUGUGCCUAAGAAGAUUCCGGUUUCAUUGAGGAGCCGUAUUGACUGAGCUAGUUGGUUUGAUAUAGUUUAAAAGGUACAUGAAGGCUUAGAGUCGGGGUAUGGGCGGAGAGCAACGUCCACUAGUUUUGCGUAAAUAUAAUUAUAAUAGUUCUGUUCUGGUGCAUUUCUUAUAUAUAAUCAAUAUUUUGAGACUUAGGGUUGUAAAUAUUAAUCCACCUAAAUCUUUAUUCGGUUGGGUUGUAAUAGUUUAAAAUAAACUUUAAAUUAGUUUUGGUGCAGGUAGUUCUUCCUUAGCGAUUAUUCUCGUAAUAAUCGUGGAAUAACACGUUUGGAUUUCGAGUAGUUAUACAGGAAUUUCGUUGGUAUUUGAAAUGGGUGGAGUUGUUGGGAAUUUGGAUUUUGGAUUGCUGAUUUGUUGAAACAGGUUUAAAAUUCGGACGCCAGUCCUAAAUUAAAUUUUAGGCAGUCCAUUUUUCAAACGGAACUCUGCCGAAUUUUCUAUAGAAUUUUAAUAUUAUUUAAUUUAAUGAAUCACUCGAAAUUCAGGGGUGUUAUAGUUGGUAUCAGAACUAGGUUAAUAAAGGACUGGGUUAAGUUAGAGAUGAUAGGAAACUAAAAUUUUGACAACCGAGGUGAGAAAGUGAGAUGGGUUAUACACGAGAAGUGUAUAUUCUGUUGUUGUUUUAUGCUUAAUUAAUUAUGUGAUUGUUUUUGUAGAUCGUGAUUUGAGAGUUAAUAUUCUUUUAUGACAAUCAAUGUGUUAUACUCGUGUUUUAUCGAGAUUCAAGUUCUUUUACCUUAUGUGCUUACAAGAUGCACAAGCGCGAAAGAAGCAAAUCAUCAGAGAUGCGCGCUUUGAUGCGCCAGAUGGCCGAGUCUAAUAAGGCCAUGAUUGAGGUGUGCAAUUGCUAGCGGAAGCACGAGCUGCUACUACUAGCACUAGCAAAGUAGCUAUCACUGAAGUUGUGCUGUGCAUAAAGCAAUUGACGGGAAGAAGCCGCCUAAGUAUGAUGGAAAAGGCGACCCCGUGAAGAUGGAGAAUUGGAUUAGAGAGUUUGACAAGAUCUUCGUCACUCUCCAGGUCCCUGAAGAGAUAGAGUAGACUCCGCAGCCUACCAUCUCACUGAAGAUGCUGAUAUCUGGUGGACCAACAACAAAGAUAAUUUUACCACCAAAGUCACAUACGAUGAGGAUGGUUUUGAGGAGGUGGAGACAAAGGAAUUUGGUUGGAAAGAGUUCAAGAAGGCCUACGCGCUGAGUUCUUCCCACCUCAUAUGAGGAAAAGGAAGAGAUCUGAGUUUGAACAGCUGGAGCAAGGAGAUAUGUCUGUCCAAGACUUUUAUACUAAAUACCUUGAGUUGUCUCGUUUCGUGCCUGAAUUGGUCCCAAUGAACAAGAAAGAGCUCAGAGGUUCGAGGAAAAACUUGAUCUUGAACUUCUUAGCAAUAUGGGAGCGGCCGACUUCACGACCUUGAACGAAGUUUAUACUCGUGCUAGCAAUGCCGAGAGAAUCAAGGAGAGAAGGAAAGCCGCAGAAAAGAUGAAAGCUCCUACAAAAGAAAGUACCCAACAAUGGGAUAAGGGUAAUAACUUUAGUCAAAACAAGAGCAGAAACUUUGAUAAUCGGGGUCCUAGGGUAACUUCAAUAGAGGAGGUCAGAGUCAACAAGCCUCAAGGAGUGCUCAGAGUUCGUUUCAGCCCCGUAGCCAAGCCCAGAGCCAAUCUCAAUCCCAAAACAACCCAGGACCUGUUCGUCGUUAUUUCUGCAAAAGAUGUGAAAACAAUCAUCCAGGGAGGGAUUGUGAAGGCAAUAAGGUGACGUGUAAUUAUUGCAAGAAGGAGGGGCAUAGAGCUUAUGAGUGUUUCACUAACCCUGAUGCUAAGAUUGGCCGCAAUUAUGAGGUGUUGAGGACACCCACUGCUAGUACAGCUAGUAAUCGCCCAACUACUUCUGCAGCUACAAAUCGUAGCGCAGGAACGGCUAAUGCUGCUCAGGCUAAGAGAAGUCUUGAGAAAAAAACACGGGGAACCUUAAUCAUCUUAAGCAAGCAGAUGCAGAUAACCAGGGGAAUGCAGUGACCGAUUCCGGUUUCAUUGAGGAGCCGUAUUGACUGAGCUAGUUGGUUUGAUAUAGUUUAAAAGGUAAGAUUCCUUACUCAAAUCUUUAAUAGUUACGAGAAAGGUCUACAAAAGAUAAGAUUCCAACUAAAAUUUCAUAUUUACGAGAAAAGAUUAUAAAGGUAUGUUUCUCUCUUGAGUUGAGAUUGGUUGAAUAGGAGGAUGUUCCUCCUAAUACGGAUAGUUUGUUUUCAAACCUUGAAUUAUAGAAUAGUUACAGAAAAGAUUUAUGGAUAGUUUUAUGUUUUUAAACUGGUUGGGAUUGCCUUUAUGGUGUCUCAAGGAAUUGGAACUUUGUUGGGAUCGUCUCGGCAUUACAGAAUAGUUGGGGGGUACGUUGAUCAGUACCUCAGACUUAGAUCUUCUGCUAUGGUUUGACCGUUUGUGGGGUGUGCACACUAGGGGUCUUUGUCUAAUAGUUACCCGGAGGGCCUAGCUAGCCCAAUGGGAAAUAAAGUUCGUUCCAUUCCAUAGAUUUAUGAUUGUAAGAUUCUGAAAGAAAUGGUUUUAGCAGAGAAAAUAGAAAAGUAUUUGGUUUGGAAAAGAAAUGAAGAAAAAUAUUUUACAAUGUUUUAUUUAGUAUUGGGAUUGCAAAAGUGAAUGAUUUGUAGGAUAUAUUUAAUGCAUCCUACCUGCAUAUGUAUUUGGCUUUACAGUAUUGAAUCUUGCUCAGCCUGUUUGGCUGAUAUUACAUGCUUGAUAUAUGCAGGUACAUGAAGGCUUAGAGUCGGGGUAUGGGCGGAGAGCAACGUCCACUAGUUUUGCGUAAAUAUAAUUAUAAUAGUUCUGUUCUGGUGCAUUUCUUAUAUAUAAUCAAUAUUUUGAGACUUUGGGUUGUAAAUAUUAAUCCACCUAAAUCUUUAUUCGGUUGGGUAGUAAUAGUUUAAAAUAAACUUUAAAUUAGUUUUGGUGCAGGUAGUUCUUCCGAUCCUUAGCGAUUAUUCUUGUAAUAAUCGUGGAAUAACACGUUUGGAUUUCGAGUAGUUAUACAGGAAUUUCGUUGGUAUUUGAAA